UACGAAGGGGGCUAGCGUUGCUCGGAAUCACUGGGCGUAAAGGGUGCGUAGGCGGGUCUUAAGUCAGGGGUGAAAUCCUGGAGCUCAACUCCAGAACUGCCUUUGAUACUGAGGAUCUUGAGUACGGGAGAGGUGAGUGGAACUGCGAGUGUAGAGGUGAAAUUCGUAGAUAUUCGCAAGAACACCAGUGGCGAAGGCGGCUCACUGGCCCGUAACUGACGCUGAGGCACGAAAGCGUGGGGAGCAAACAGGG
rnacentral:rRNA from 1 species